UUAAUGGAGAGUUUGAUCCUGGCUCAGGACGAACGCUGGCGGCGUGCCUAAUACAUGCAAGUCGAGCGGGGUUAUGUAAAAGCUUGCUUCUACAUAACCUAGCGGCGGACGGGUGAGUAACACGUAGGCAACCUGCCCACAAGACAGGGAUAACUACCGGAAACGGUAGCUAAUACCCGAUACAUCCUUUUCCUGCAUGGGAGAAGGAGGAAAGGCGGAGCAAUCUGUCACUUGUGGAUGGGCCUGCGGCGCAUUAGCUAGUUGGUGGGGUAAAGGCCUACCAAGGCGACGAUGCGUAGCCGACCUGAGAGGGUGAUCGGCCACACUGGGACUGAGACACGGCCCAGACUCCUACGGGAGGCAGCAGUAGGGAAUCUUCCGCAAUGGGCGAAAGCCUGACGGAGCAACGCCGCGUGAGUGAUGAAGG
rnacentral:rRNA from 1 species